GGACUUUGGUGGCUGUGGAGAUGAUGAUCAGGAAUAGCUUAAAGCAUGCAAAAAUCUUUACCAGGAGCUUGUGGGGUUUCAAACAUUCAUGUCAUUAACAGGUGUGAAAUGUGAGCAAUAAUUACUUCCUGCACUGCAAAGCUAUUGAGAAGUUUCAAGGCAUACAGUUCUGGGUGACGAGAAGCAAAACUGAAUGAGUAGAAGAAAUGUGAUCAGAAAAACAAUAAGAGCACGCCUUGAUCUGUUUGAAGGAAAAGGAAGAGAGAUCAGAGAGGAGUAUGACUUGAUGAGUCAGGUGAAGUUAGGACCUAUCAAGAUGGUGUACUGAAAGGCGUAUUUAGGAGCUGUAAGAAGCUGGACUUAAUCUUACAGGAAACUGAAAAUACCAAAAGAAGCCUUGUCCAGUCAUUAUGACAUG
rnacentral:lncRNA from 1 species